GUAAGGGGCAAGCGUUGUCCGGAAUCACUGGGCGUAAAGCGCGCGUAGGUGGUUUGACAAGUCGGGUGUGAAAUCCCCGGGCUUAACCCGGGAACUGCGCCCGAAACUGUCUCACUGGAGGAACGGAGGGGUGCACGGAAUUCCCGGUGUAGGGGUGAAAUCCAUAGAGAUCGGGAGGAACACCAAUAGCGAAGGCAGUGCACUGGACGUUUCCUGACACUGAGGUGCGAAAGCGUGGGGAGCGAAUGGGAUUAGAUACCCCGGUAGUCCACGCCGUAAACGAUGAGAACUAGGUUUGGGUGGCUUCGACCCCAUCCGAGCCGGCGAUAACGCAUUAAGUUCUCCGCCUGGGGAGUACGACCGCAAGGUUA
rnacentral:rRNA from 1 species